CAUGUCUCAAGAGCUGCAGCCCCAGCAGCCUCCCCAUUGGGGACCAUGGAGCUGGGCUUGAGAAGGGUUCAGCAGCAGCACUUUACCUCUCAAAGGAGUAGGACUCCAGCAAAGUGAGCUUCGUGAAGGUGGUGCCAACUGCCAGCAAUGGUUCCACUGAGCUUGUGGCCCUGCACGUCAAUGAGGUAGGGACUGCCUGCCAGACCACCCUGGCAUGGGCUUGAGUGGGAUUCCCAGGAACUGAACCCCCAGGCCAGGGGCCUCUGCCACAGCCUUCUCCCACAGGGCGAAGAUGGACAGGAGAUCUCCAUGCCAUGGAGAAGAAGCAAUCCCUCCACAAGGCCUUUCCCUUGGGAAACGUGUUCUCAUACUACCAGAGCAACAGAGAAGUUCAGGAAAACUCAGAGGUCUGCGAAGCUGAGUAGUUUGAGAGCAACAAGGUUAUUUGGCAUUUUCUAGACUUAUUUCACCCAGAUACUAGAAAUAAGCAGCUACUGAGACCUGGUGUACAAGAAAUAAGAUCUAAUCUACAAAAUAAAUUUGCAUUCUGCAGCCUGACCCUCAGCACUAAAAGCCUUGUAAAGGGGCAAGAUAACUGGGUCACACUAGGGACAAAAUCAGUCAUUCUGAGAUGCUGAGAAGAAAUCAGAAGGCAUACUUACAGGUGAUUCCAAGUAGACACAACUAUCCACCCUCUCCUAAAAGACCUUGUAUCCAGAGAUAAGCUGCCAUCAACAGCACUAUGGAGGGAAAGAAUAAGUGACAUUAAUGAAAUGACAAGGAUGGCUGUAAAGGGGGCAAGACAUUUUGUGAAAAGCCAGAAAUACUCUCCUAAAGAAGAAAAAUAACCAUAUUGAUCUGGAGAUUUCCGAACUGGGCAGUGAUAAUGAUUGAGUUAGCAAUAGCAAUGAUUCUUUGGAAAAGCUGAGUAGGAACACUUGAAAUUCCAACAGACCUAAGUUUGAAUACCAUUCUGUCAUUCAUCAGCUGGGUUACCUUGAACAAAUUACUUAACUUUUCGGAUCCUCUGUUUCCUUACCUUAAAGCAAGGUUUUUUUAAAAAAUCGAUUUCAUACUGUUAUUGUGAACAUGACAUGAGAUCAUAAAUUAUCUGAGUGCCUGGAACUCAUGGCUGCUCAUGGAGCCCUAGGUACAGAUGCAGUAGUAGCUGAGGGAGAGGGGGUAUGACAUGGAGCUAUGACACAGCUUAUGAACAUUGAGCUGCAUGCAGUGACUGUAAACAUCCACCUACUUUGCCAGCUGCUUGGAUAUGUUGGUUGAUGUGCCCUGGCACACUGCUGUGCAUCAUCUGGAGAAUUACUAAGGCUCAGGUGAAUUCUUGAAUUUCAUGCUGUGCUCUCUACACACAUGUUCUAUGGCAUCACUGUCGAUGCUCUGUAUUUCUGGACUUCUUGUGUCUUUGGCUUAAUGGGCUUCAGUGCAGGGAUGCAAGCAGCAGUUUGUAUCACCAGACUCAGACCUCAUUGAUAUUUGGUAUUGACUCACUGACUUGCUUCAUUUGGACAUCAAGGCGCCUGCUUACUUGCAGCUCUGCUGCCACAAUUAUCAUUCAACUUCCCUGCUUAGGCUUUUGCCACCAUCAGUCCUCCUCUUAACUGUUUUCUGUUUCUUCCUAGGACAUUAAUAUACUAUCUCUGCUUGUUUCAGUUUUUACACACAAAAAAGAUCUUCCAUUUACUUGACUAUUUCUUCUUCCUGGAAUGUCAACUCUUCCAUUUUAGUUGUGGUUUAAAACCCUAGCCAACCUUCACAUCUUAGCUCAGAUGCUGUCUCCACCAUGAAGUCUUCUGCCGCCCCAGACAGAGAUCUCUUCCUCUGAAAUUCUAUUGUGGUUUGCCUGGACUCCUGAUACAUCACACAAUCAGCUGAUGGGCGUCACAGUAAUUAAGUCAUAUGUCUCCUGUAUCCUUCUAAAUAUAAGUUCCUAAAGAGCAAGGAUUGUUGUCUGCAAGCACAGAACUUUGCAUACCGUUAAAAGUUUAAAUUUUUCACUUGGAAAGUCAUGAGAUAUACAAACUGAUGUGAGGCAGAAAUGAGGAAGCAGACAGAACUGUAAUGAGGAAGAUAAAAGCAGACUGAUAGAGGUAUCUUAUAGGAACUUAAGCUGCAUUAGGGUGCUUGUGUGGGUGACAAGAGGACUGCGUCAUUGCCUAAGUGUAACACAUGCACCUGGUACUUCCUUGACAGGAUGACAAUAAGGGAACCUAUUCUCAGUAAUAACAGGGUGUUCAGCUGAAGUCAGCUGAGGAUUUGGAGCAAGCUGUUUUGGUACAGCCUGUGUUGAGUGGCUUAAAAAUUAGAGUGAAGAAUUGCUUAAGAGACAAUGUUCUUAGGAAAGCUUAUAGGACAGAGUGUCAGGCUGGCUGUUGAAAGACUUCUGAUAACUUUCUGUCAUUUGAAGAGCUGUUGGUGGUUUGGAAAUAAAUCAUGUUAAAGUAAUCAGCUUUUGACUGUCCUGAGUCCUCAAGGAGAAGCGACAUGAAGCCUUGAUAAACCUUAAUAGUCAUGACUAUGAUAGAUGCCAUGAUUUUUCAGGCUACCAGAUUUAUCAGGUAGCUGAUAUGAAAACUAGUUCAAACCCACCCUCAAUGGCCACAAACCAUGCAGUUUAUUUCAGCCAGGACUAGACUUCCAUAAUAAGCCAGUACAUAUGGUAUGUGGCAAAGAGUGGAUGCCUGAUUACCAAAGCUAAGGAGGGUGUUAUAAAAGCAAAAAAGAGUUCAAAUAGGCUUUUUUUGGAAAUAUUUGGAGGAUGAAGCGUUUGGCAUAAGGAUGAGCAGGCUGAAAGGUGGCCAGGAAUCAUUUCAUUCAUUAUUCUUUUCCUAAAUGGGAAGAUCCUGUAUCUUGAGAUUAAUACACAUGAGAAUAGAAGCCUAGCUUUGGACUUGUGAUAUAAGUCAGAGCAAUU